CCACAGGUCCAUGCUUUCUAACGGAAUCUCUUCUGUGAGGGCUGGUUGUCUGCGCUGGGAGCUGCCCGGAGAAUACACUCCGCAAGGUCAGGGAGAAGCAGAGCCGGAAGCAGCGAUGCUGUGUGUGACUUUAAGGAUGGAGUAA
rnacentral:lncRNA from 1 species